AUGGAUCCACCUGCGGACGCCCUCUCAGGAACCAGUGUUGGCGGCGGCUCCUCCAGGGCGCCGGAUCUUGGUGAUGUGCUGGAACAACUCAACUUGGAAGACGAAGAAUUUGAUGAUCUGGUGAUAGAUGAAGCCGAUCCAGAGAUCAAUGAAAGUGUGAGAUGGCUUGCGCUGGCUAGGGUUUGCACGGACAAGACCUUCAGCCAGUCGGCUUUCUAUAAGGAUAUGCGUGCAGCAUGGAAUCCAGCACAGCCGGUGAGGUUCCGCCCGGUAGGUCCGAAGCUCUUUGUCGUGCAGGCUUCAUGCUUGGGAGACUGGGAAUGGAUGAUGGAUCAAGGGCCAUGGCUCUUCAGGAAUUUACUUGUGCUGAUGGUUCCAUAUGAUGGCUUUACAAAAGCAGAAGAGGUGCCGAUGGUGUUCAUGCCGAUCUGGCUCCAAAUUCAUAAGAUCCCGGAGGCGUUCUGUAAGAAAAAUAUUGUGGAAAAUCUACUUCGGAACUCAGGAGAGAUUAUAGAGAUGAGUCUCAACGGUAAUACUCGUGGUGAUUACAUUAGGGUUAGGGUUCGGCACGACGUCCGCCGACCUCUCACCAAGUUUGUCAGUGUCAUGAGGGGGAAAGAGCGCCAAAUUUAUUUGGUGAGAUAUGAAAAAUUGGCAUGCUUCUGCAGUGUAUGUGGGCUGAUUGGACACGACUGCAAGGAGUGCGGAUCCGGUGUGCAUGAGGAGAAGGAUAAGAAGUAUGGCGCUUGGCUCUAUGCGGACAGCUUGAAUAAGCCUCCUUCCCAUGAUAGCUUUAGCCGAGGGAGGAACCAGAAGAAGCCCGCUCCUCAACCCUCACAGAACAUCUCGCCAAGGGAGAAGGUGAUUUAUCUGGAGACCUUAGAUGCGGCAACAAGCCCAUCUAAGGAGGGACGCACGAACAUGCAAAUGGAUCCUGCUGCUAGGAAAAGACUCGCAUUGGAAGGUGAUUGCUACCUCUUGAGCACUGUGUUGGUUUUCCCUUGA
rnacentral:rRNA from 1 species